UUCGCCCUUAGAGUUUGAUCCUGGCUCAGGAUGAACGCUGGCGGCGUGCUUAACACAUGCAAGUCGAACGGGAAACCUUUUAUUGAAGCUUCGGCAGAUUUAGCUGGUUUCUAGUGGCGGACGGGUGAGUAACGCGUGGGUAACCUGCCUUAUACAGGGGGAUAACAACCAGAAAUGGUUGCUAAUACCGCAUAAGCGCACAGGACCGCAUGGUCUAGUGUGAAAAACUCCGGUGGUAUAAGAUGGACCCGCGUUGGAUUAGCUAGUUGGCAGGGUAACGGCCUACCAAGGCGACGAUCCAUAGCCGGCCUGAGAGGGUGAACGGCCACAUUGGGACUGAGACACGGCCCAGACUCCUACGGGAGGCAGCAGUGGGGAAUAUUGCACAAUGGGGGAAACCCUGAUGCAGCGACGCCGCGUGAAGGAAGAAGUAUCUCGGUAUGUAAACUUCUAUCAGCAGGGAAGAUAGUGACGGUACCUGACUAAGAAGCCCCGGCUAACUACGUGCCAGCAGCCGCGGUAAUACGUAGGGGGCAAGCGUUAUCCGGAUUUACUGGGUGUAAAGGGAGCGUAGACGGACUGGCAAGUCUGAUGUGAAAGGCGGGGGCUCAACCCCUGGACUGCAUUGGAAACUGUUAGUCUUGAGUGCCGGAGAGGUAAGCGGAAUUCCUAGUGUAGCGGUGAAAUGCGUAGAUAUUAGGAGGAACACCAGUGGCGAAGGCGGCCUACUGGGCUUUAACUGACGCUGAGGCACGAAAGUGUGGGUAGCAAACAGGAUUAGAUACCCUGGUAGUCCACACUGUAAACGAUGAUUUACUAGGUGUGGGGGGUUUAACCCCCUCCGUGCCGGAGUUUAACACAAAUAAGUAAUCCACCUGGGGAGUACGACCGCAAGGUUGAAACUCAAAGGAAUUGACGGGGGCCCGCACAAGCAGUGGAGUAUGUGGUUUAAUUCGACGCAACGCGAAGAACCUUACCAGGUCUUGACAUCCAACUAACGAAGCAGAGAUGCAUUAGGUGCCCUUCGGGGAAAGUUGAGACAGGUGGUGCAUGGUUGUCGUCAGCUCGUGUCGUGAGAUGUUGGGUUAAGUCCCGCAACGAGCGCAACCCUUGUGAUUAGUUGCUACGCAAGAGCACUCUAAUCAGACUGCCGUUGACAAAACGGAGGAAGGUGGGGACGACGUCAAAUCAUCAUGCCCUUUAUGACCUGGGCUACACACGUACUACAAUGGUCGUUAACAGAGGGAAGCAAUACCGCGAGGUGGAGCAAAACCCUAAAAACGGUCUCAGUUCAGAUUGUAGGCUGCAACUCGCCUACAUGAAGUUGGAAUUGCUAGUAAUCGCGGAUCAGCAUGCCGCGGUGAAUACGUUCCCGGGCCUUGUACACACCGCCCGUCA
rnacentral:rRNA from 1 species